rnacentral:tRNA from 1 species
UCCCUGGUGGCUCAGAUGGUAAAGCGUCUGUCUGCAUUGCAGGAGACCUAGGUUCGAUCCCUGGGUUGGGAA